GAUGGCAAAUGAUGUUAAAAACUUAAAUUUUUUAAUCCUUACGCUGAGUUCUGUGAAGACUAAAAACUUCACUUAUUGUCUGAUGCCUUC
rfam:Glycine soja cultivar W05 scaffold2285_1, whole genome shotgun sequence.